UACGUAGGGUGCAAGCGUUGUCCGGAAUUAUUGGGCGUAAAGAGCUCGUAGGCGGUCUGUUACGUCUGCUGUGAAAACCCGGGGCUUAACCCUGGGCUUGCAGUGGAUACGGGCAGACUAGAGGCAGGUAGGGGAGAAUGGAAUUCCCGGUGUAGCGGUGAAAUGCGCAGAUAUCAGGAGGAACACCGGUGGCGAAGGCGGGUCUCUGGGCAGUAACUGACGCUGAGACGCGAAAGCGUGGGGAGCAAACAGG
rnacentral:rRNA from 1 species